rnacentral:lncRNA from 1 species
CAUAAAGGUGUUCAUAGUAGCCUUGAAUAUCUUUUGUAUUUCAGUGGUGUCAGUUGUAAUAUCUCCUGUUUCAUUUCUUAGUGAAGUUAUUUGGAUUUUCUCUCUUCUUUUCUUGGUUAAUCUUGCUAAUGGUCUAUCAAUUUUAUUUAUUUUCUCAAAGAACCAGGUUUUGUUUCAUUUAUUUAUUUAUUUUUUUGUAUGGUUUUUUUUUGUUUCAAUUUCAUUUAGUUCUGCUCUGAUCUUGAUUAUUUCCUUUCUUCUGCUGGGUUUGGGUUUGGUUUGUUCUUGUUUCUAGAUCCCUGAGGUGUGACUGUAGAUUGUCUUUUUUGCUCUUUCAGUCUUUUUGAUGUAGGCAUUUAGGGCUAUGAACUUUCCUCUUAGCACCACCUUUGCUGUAUCCCAGAGGUUUUGAUAAGUUGUGUCAUUAUUGUUGUUCAGUUCAAAUAAUU